CCCCUCAACAUUUCAGACAGCCAGGUAAAAACAGAGUACAAUACUGAAGUUUAUUUUUCUCAGGCAUUAUUUACUUUUAGUAGCAGAUCUUAAAAUCAAACAUUUUUAGCUAUGCAACAGUAGUAAAAGCAGAGGACAGAACAGUAACGAUACACUAUUAAAGGAAACACAAUAGUGAUCAAUGUUCCUUCGGCAAUUGAGCAAAUUUCAGGUCUAACCUGAAGGUAGUGGACAGGUGGUACAGCUUCCACUAUAUAGUAACCUGAAGGUAGUGGACAGGUGAUACAGCUUCCUCUAUAUAGUAACCUGAAGGUAGUGGACAGGACAGCAGCUUCCUCUAUAUAGUAACCUGAAGGUAGUGGACAGGUGAUACAGCUUCCUCUAUAUAGUAACCUGAAGGUAGUGGACAGGUGAUACAGCUUCCACUAUAUAGUAACCUGAAGGUAGUGGACAGGUGAUACAGCUUCCUCUAUAUAUUAACCUGAAGGUAGUGGACAGGACAGCAGCUUCCUCUAUAUAGUAACCUGAAGGUAGUGGACAGGACAGCAGCUUCCUCUAUAUAGUAACCUGAAGGUAGUGGACAGGUGAUACAGCUUCCUCUAUAUAGUAACCUGAAGGUAGUGGACAGGACAGCAGCUUCCUCUAUAUAGUAACCUGAAGGUAGUGGACAGGACAGCAGCUUCCUCUAUAUAGUAACCUGAAGGUAGUGGACAGGACAGCAGCUUCCUCUAUAUAGUAACCUGAAGGUAGUGGACAGGACAGCAGCUUCCUCUAUAUAGUAACCUGAAGGUAGUGGACAGGUGAUACAGCUUCCUCUAUAUAGUAACCUGAAGGUAGUGGACAGGACAGCAGCUUCCUCUAUAUAGUAACCUGAAGGUAGUGGACAGGUGAUACAGCUUCCUCUAUAUAGUAACCUGAAGGUAGUGGACAGGACAGCAGCUUCCUCUAUAUAGUAACCUGAAGGUAGUGGACAGGACAGCAGCUUCCUCUAUAUAGUAACCUGAAGGUAGUGGACAGGUGAUACAGCUUCCUCUAUAUAGUAACCUGAAGGUAGUGGACAGGUGAUACAGCUUCCUCUAUAUAGUAACCUGAAGGUAGUGGACAGGUGAUACAGCUUCCUCUAUAUAGUAACCUGAAGGUAGUGGACAGGACAGCAGCUUCCUCUAUAUAGUAACCUGAAGGUAGUGGACAGGACAGCAGCUUCCUCUAUAUAGUAACCUGAAGGUAGUGGACAGGUGAUACAGCUUCCUCUAUAUAGUAACCUGAAGGUAGUGGACAGGACAGCAGCUUCCUCUAUAUAGUAACCUGAAGGUAGUGGACAGGACAGCAGCUUCCUCUAUAUAGUAACCUGAAGGUAGUGGACAGGACAGCAGCUUCCUCUAUAUAGUAACCUGAAGGUAGUGGACAGGACAGCAGCUUCCUCUAUAUAGUAACCUGAAGGUAGUGGACAGGUGAUACAGCUUCCUCUAUAUAGUAACCUGAAGGUAGUGGACAGGACAGCAGCUUCCUCUAUAUAUUAACCUGAAGGUAGUGGACAGGUGAUACAGCUUCCUCUAUAUAGUAACCUGAAGGUAGUGGACAGGUGAUACAGCUUCCUCUAUAUAUUAACCUGAAGGUAGUGGACAGGUGAUACAGCUUCCUCUAUAUAGUAACCUGAAGGUAGUGGACAGGUGAUACAGCUUCCACUAUAUAGUAACCUGAAGGUAGUGGACAGGUGAUACAGCUUCCUCUAUAUAGUAACCUGAAGGUAGUGGACAGGACAGCAGCUUCCUCUAUAUAGUAACCUGAAGGUAGUGGACAGGUGAUACAGCUUCCUCUAUAUAGUAACCUGAAGGUAGUGGACAGGUGAUACAGCUUCCUCUAUAUAGUAACCUGAAGGUAGUGGACAGGUGAUACAGCUUCCUCUAUAUAGUAACCUGAAGGUAGUGGACAGGUGAUACAGCUUCCUCUAUAUAGUAACCUGAAGGUAGUGGACAGGUGAUACAGCUUCCUCUAUAUAUUAACCUGAAGGUAGUGGACAGGUGAUACAGCUUCCUCUAUAUAGUAACCUGAAGGUAGUGGACAGGUGAUACAGCUUCCUCUAUAUAGUAACCUGAAGGUAGUGGACAGGUGAUACAGCUUCCUCUAUAUAGUAACCUGAAGGUAGUGGACAGGUGAUACAGCUUCCUCUAUAUAGUAACCUGAAGGUAGUGGACAGGUGAUACAGCUUCCUCUAUAUAGUAACCUGAAGGUAGUGGACAGGUGAUACAGCUUCCUCUAUAUAGUAACCUGAAGGUAGUGGACAGGUGAUACAGCUUCCUCUAUAUAUUAACCUGAAGGCAGAGGACAGGUGAAACUAACAGCUUCCUGUCUAGUUACCUGAAGGCAGAGGACAGGUGAUAACUAACAGCUUCCUGUCUAUAGUUACCUGAAGGCAGAGGACAGGUGAUAACUAACAGCUUCCUGUCUAUAGUUACCUGAAGGCAGAGGACAGGUGAUAACUAACAGCUUCCUGUCUAUAGUUACCUGAAGGCAGAGGACAGGUGAAACUAACAGCUUCCUGUCUAUAGUUACCUGAAGGCAGAGGACAGGUGAUAACUAACAGCUUCCUGUCUAUAGUUACCUGAAGGCAGAGGACAGGUGAUAACUAACAGCUUCCUGUCUAUAGUUACCUGAAGGCAGAGGACAGGUGAAACUAACAGCUUCCUGUCUAUUGUUACCUGAAGGCAGAGGACAGGUGAAACUAACAGCUUCCUGUCUAUUGUUACCUGAAGGCAGAGGACAGGUGAAACUAACAGCUUCCUGUCUAUAGUUACCUGAAGGCAGAGGACAGGUGAUAACUAACAGCUUCCUGUCUAUAGUUACCUGAAGGCAGAGGACAGGUGAUAACUAACAGCUUCCUGUCUAUAGUUACCUGAAGGCAGAGGACAGGUGAUAACUAACAGCUUCCUGUCUAUAGUUACCUGAAGGCAGAGGACAGGUGAUAACUAACAGCUUCCUGUCUAUAGUUACCUGAAGGCAGAGGACAGGUGAAACUAACAGCUUCCUGUCUAUGGUGACAUAAAGGCAGUGGACAGGAGAAAAUUUAAAUUAAGGCCAGCUGGGUUGACCAGGAGAGGAAGCCACAGUCGAAGCUACUUUCUCAAUUCCUCCUCUAGGCCUCAUGGCACAGUUCCACAUCAACACAACACUGUCCACAGUAUCUUUCCCAGCCCACUUGGCUCCUU